GGAACUUACCUCUAGAACUUGCAUUCGAAUAGAUUCGGAAAUGUGUUUGCGAGGAUGCCCGAUAUGAUUGAGCAUAAGACAUGUGAUGAUGCUUACUGCUUAUGAUGCAACGAACCAAAUUCGAAGAAUAGUGUUGCUCGACCUCUUGGGUUUUUUUCGCAUAAAACAAGUGAUGAUCUUGCUUGUCCUUCUGAUCAGCGUCGGUUCGGUGAGUGGGAGAUACAACAUGAAUAAUGUACAACCAUGUGGGAAGUUUCUUUGAGUUUGAAACAACAGCAGAAGUUCAUUUACAACAACCGAGCCGAAUGGAGGAGACUGCAUUUAUCUAGAUCAUUAUGCUGGGAAGUGUUUUACCUGGAAGUGAAGUUGAAAAACUCCCAUUUUUUGUAUGCUAUUAUGCCUACAAUGUUUAUUUUGUGACCGAAUAAAUUCUAUAAGUGAUGAUAUGAUGCACACGCCAACAAUAUUCGGAAAUGUAAAAAAAAGGA